UCUUUUUAUGCCCCCGUCGGACAGAACGGGCAGGUGCCCAGACACCCUUGCCACCCCCACCCCAAUUGUAAAAGGUCUGGUUACUCCCCCGUUGUACAGAAGGGGCAGGUGCCCAGGCAGCCUUGCCACCCCCACCCCACUGUAAAAGGUUUGGUUAUGCCCCCGUCAGACAGAACGGGCAGGUGCCCAGGCAGCCUUGCCACCCCCACCCCACUGAAAACGGUCUGGUUUUGCCCCCGUCAGACAGAACGGGCAGGUGCCCAGGCAGCCUUGCCACCCCC